rnacentral:ncRNA from 1 species
UUAUUUGGGAAAUAAACUAAUUUAUAGUAUAAGUUUUGUUAUAAGAUUUUUUCAUAUAAGUAUAUUUAAUUUAAUAAAGAAAUGUUUAGUGAAUAGAAUUAUUUAUUUAAGAAAUUAAGAUUUAGGGAUUUUAUUAUAAUAUAUAAAAAUUAUGCCAGCUAUAGCGGUUAUAUAAUUUAUUAAAAUAAAAAGAAAUUAUAAGUAAUAUAAUUUAUUUAUAUUUAGAUAAUGUGAUUAAUUAGGUAAAAUUUAUUAAUAAUAUUAUUUUAAUAAAUUUAUUUAUUAGGUUAUUUAUAAACUAGGAUUAGAUACCCUAUUAUUUUAAUUAAGAUUUAUUAUAAAUUAGUAUUUAUUUAAUUAUUUGAAAGUGGUUAAAUUUGGCGGUAUUUUAAGCAUGUUAGAGGAAUUUGUUAAUUAAUAGAUUUUACACGAUUAUAAAUAGCUUAUUAUAUUAUUUUUAUAUCAUUGUUAUAAGAUAAUUAUUUAAUUAAUUUAAAUUUCUUAAUAUUAAAUAAUAGGAUUUCAAAUCAAGAUUUAAUUAAUUAAUAAGAUAUAAUGAAUUACAUUUUUAUUAAAAUUGAAUAUUAUUAAUAAAAAAUAUUAUGAAAAAGGAUUUAAAAGUAAUAUUUUAUUUAUAUAAAAUAUGAAUAUGUUAUAAAAUAUGUACAUAUUGCCCGUCAAUUUCUAUGAAAUAAGUCGUAACAAAGUAGAUGUACUGGAAAGUGUAUCUGGUU